AGAGUUUGAUCCUGGCUCAGGACGAACGCUGGCGGCGUGCUUAACACAUGCAAGUCGAGCGGAAAGGCCCUUCGGGGUACUCGAGCGGCGAACGGGUGAGUAACACGUGAGCAAUCUGCCCUUAGCUCUGGGAUAGCUCCGGGAAACCGGAAUUAAUACCGGAUAUGACCAUUUUAGACAUCUUUUGUGGUGGAAAGUUU
rnacentral:rRNA from 1 species